UACGUAGGGUGCGAGCGUUGUCCGGAAUUAUUGGGCGUAAAGAGCUCGUAGGUGGCUUGUCACGUCGGGUGUGAAAGCUUGGGGCUUAACUCCAGGUCUGCAUUCGAUACGGGCUGGCUAGAGGUAGGUAGGGGAGAACGGAAUUCCUGGUGUAGCGGUGAAAUGCGCAGAUAUCAGGAGGAACACCGGUGGCGAAGGCGGCACUCUGGGCCGAUACUGACACUGAGGAGCGAAAGCGUGGGGAGCGAACAGG
rnacentral:rRNA from 1 species